rnacentral:rRNA from 1 species
AUUGAACGCUGGCGGCAUGCCUUACACAUGCAAGUCGAACGGCAGCACGGGAGCAAUCCUGGUGGCGAGUGGCGAACGGGUGAGUAAUAUAUCGGAACGUGCCCAGACGUGGGGGAUAACGUAGCGAAAGCUACGCUAAUACCGCAUACGAUCUAUGGAUGAAAGCGGGGGAUCGCAAGACCUCGCGCGAUUGGAGCGGCCGAUAUCAGAGUAGGUAGUUGGUGAGGUAAAGGCUCACCAAGCCGACGAUCUGUAGCUGGUCUGAGAGGACGACCAGCCACACUGGGACUGAGACACGGCCCAGACUCCUACGGGAGGCAGCAGUGGGGAAUUUUGGACAAUGGGCGCAAGCCUGAUCCAGCAAGGCCGCGUGCAGGAUGAAGGCCUUCGGGUUGUAAACUGCUUUUGUACGGAACGAAACGGCGAGCUCUAAUACAGUUUGCUAAUGACGGUACCGUAAGAAUAAGCACCGGCUAACUACGUGCCAGCAGCCGCCGUAA